UGAGGAAUAUUGGUCAAUGGGGGCAACCCUGAACCAGCCAAGUCGCGUGAAGGAUGAAGGUCUUAUGGAUUGUAAACUUCUUUUACACGGGAAUAAAGUGGGGGACGUAUCCCCCUUUGCAUAUACCGUGUGAAUAAGGAUCGGCUAACUCCGUGCCAGCAGCCGCGGUAAUACGGAGGAUCCGAGCGUUAUCCGGAUUUAUUGGGUUUAAAGGGUGCGCAGGCGGGACGUUAAGUCGGCGGUGAAAUUUUGCAGCUCAACUGUAAAAGUGCCUUCGAUACUGGCCUCCUUGAGUGUGGAUGAAGUAGGCGGAAUUUGUGGUGUAGCGGUGAAAUGCUUAGAUAUCACGAGGAACUCCUAUUGCGCAGGCAGCUUACUAAGCCACAACUGACGCUCAUGCACGAAGGCGUGG
rnacentral:rRNA from 1 species